rnacentral:rRNA from 1 species
GUUGACCUCGGAUCAGGUAGGAAUACCCGCUGAACUUAAGCAUAUCAAUAAGCGGAGGAAAAGAAACCAACAGGGAUUGCCUCAGUAACGGCGAGUGAAGCGGCAACAGCUCAAAUUUGAAAUCUGGCCCCAGGCCCGAGUUGUAAUUUGCAGAGGAUGCUUUUGGUGAGGUGCCUUCCAAGUUCCCUAGAACGGGACGCCAGAGAGGGUGAGAGCCCCGUACAGUUGGACACCGAGCCUUUGUAAAGCUCCUUCGACGAGUCGAGUAGUUUGGGAAUGCUGCUCAAAAUGGGAGGUAUAUUUCUUCUAAAGCUAAAUACCGGCCAGAGACCGAUAGCGCACAAGUAGAGUGAUCGAAAGAUGAAAAGCACUUUGAAAAGAGGGUUAAACAGCACGUGAAAUUGUUAAAAGGGAAGCGCUUGUGACCAGACUUGCGUCCGGUGAAUCACCCAGCUCUCGCGGCUGGGGCACUUCGCCGGCUCAGGCCAGCAUCAGCUCGCUGUCGGGGACAAAAGCUUCAGGAACGUAGCUCUCUUCGGGGAGUGUUAUAGCCUGUUGCAUAAUACCCUUCGGCGGGCUGAGGUACGCGCUCCGCAAGGUGC